CCAUAUCCUUUCACCAGUUCACGACUCAAUAUGAUAUUAUUAGUAAUAUUCCUUCAGGGCACAAUGGCAGAUUCUCAACUAUCCACAAGAAAAUUGUUACUUUAUGCAGUCUCUUACUUAGGAUAAUUUUGAAAUGAUUUUAUCCAGUAAGGUACAACAAGGAAUAGGUCUAAACUCAGUCAUUUUAGAUGGAUGAUGUACCAGCUUUGAGACAAGGUUGACAAUGGUGUAGUUUAUGGAUUUGUACCUCGGGGUAGCAGAGUAAAAGAACUCCAACAAGAGAUAUGUUUAAACCCGGGUGGUAAAGGAAGAAAAAAAUAUGCUACAAGCUGAAGAGGAUGAAAGAAUAACAUGUGCCGGAAGCAACUUGAAGCAAUGUGAAGCAAAACGAAGCAAAAUGAAGCAAAAACCCAGUAGAACUGAACAAUGGCACAACCUGCGAAUCGCAGGUACCAUAUGCGAGUCACAGGUGGUGCAGCACUUGUUGACAGAGAGGAUCAAAUAAGACACCACAGGUGACACCACCUGCGACUCGCAGGUGUAACAUGCGAAUCGCGGAUGGUGUCGCGGAUGCUGCUCAACAAAUAACUAAAGAUGCGACACCUGCGAUGGUCUGGUGAAACCUGCGACUCACGGGUUGAACAUGCGACACUAUGUGCGAAACGCACCUGAUGCACAGGGGCAUUUUUGUCUGGAAAUUGUUCCCGUUUUGGACAUGCUAUAAAUAGAUUUUCUAGGGUUUUGGAUUCAUUUUUAUCCUGCAGUUUUUGGCAGAC